AAAUUAAAGAUGCAGUUAGGAUGGCCGAGUUUGUCUUUGAGGAGUUACUGGAAAGGGCCAGGGAGAAAGAAGAAAAAGAAGCUAAAAAGCGUAAACGUCUAGCAGAUGAGUUCUAUGAACUUCUUCAUGCAUCAAAGGAAAUUACUGCAUCAUCGAAAUGGGAGGACUGCAAAUCCCUCUUCGGAGAUAGGCAAG